UCUUUGGUAACCCAAUUAUUGCUUAAUAGCAUGCUAUUUUGCCUCCAUGUGUUUGCUUUUUUUCAUUGUUUUUAUUGUAGUUGAUUCAUAAAUUUAGGCCAUUGUAGUCUGAGAAGAUGCUUGAUAUGAUUUCUAUCUUCUUGAGUUUGAAAUGGCUUUGCUGUCUCCCAAUAUGUGGUAUAUUUUUGAAGAUGUCUUUUGUGCACUUCAGAAGAAUGUAUAUUCUGUUGUUUUUGGUGAAAUGUUCUGAAGAUAUCAAUUAA